AAUAUUAUCUGCCAUUUGUUCAAUUAGUUACAUUUCCAGGGUCAAAUUACAGAUAGUAAUUGAGAGCGGCUUUAGAAAUCAGGGAACGUGACCUAUACAUAGCAUAGAUUAUCUCUUAAUCAGCUGAAUUCUGUUCAACGAGUACAGUAGACACAAGACAACCUCAAGAAAGCUUCUAGACUACUCCGCUUACUGUCACAACACUAUUCAACCAACGAGUUUUCGAAGAUUAUCACCCUGGGACACUCUUCUGCUUCAUUCUCAAGGCACAACACCACAACUUCAGAAGAUGCAAGGAGCGUGUUCUUAACUCUCCAAAACGAAGGAGGGGAUCUGCAAUAAACAAAGACGAUAUAUUUUUGGCCAGAAAUUUGCGGAGUUCCUUCGUCUUGAUAUCGGUCUUGGCUGCAG